CCAAAUUGUAGCUCUUUCGAGCGAGGAGGUGCUGAAACACUGCACAGAGACGGGCAAGCACUCAGAGGCAUUUCGUUUGCCUUGAUCCUGGAGGCGGCCUUCUCCCAUUGCUGAGGAUUUGAAGCGAACUCCUGGCAGAUCAGAAAUGUUCAGGCGAACGGCGGUUAUAUUUGUCCGUGGACCCAAGACUUCGUUGACGGGCAAAUAUGGAACCCUGCAACAAGGACUGUAGUGUGAAUAGCGUGCUGCGCUGCUCUCGCCAACUGAAAAGAACUCUGGUAAGAUGCAUGCUUGGUUACGAAAGUCUCACGCAAUCGCUUUUCACAUUGAAUUUGGUCGCAGGUGUGCUGUAAAUGCCGACUGCACAAUAUGUGACUGGCCCGCGGCUGCUUUGAAGGUAAGAUUGUGUUCUCAUUAUUCUAUUUAUUGUACCAUUUGUUUUCCAGUGACAUAGCCAACAACGAAAUCCAUCCUCUCUCCACAUAUUAUCUAGUCUGUGCGCUGUGGAGCUUGAAGCACUUCUCGGAAUUUCAGCACACUCGCAUUUAUUUUUUUCCCGACAGAAGAAAAAUGCAAGUCUAACAUCUCGACGGUAAAACGUCGCAUCUGCGCACAGGGCCAAGAGCACGAGAAGUGGCCGAAAGAAGGGAACCG